rnacentral:rRNA from 1 species
GUGCCAGCAGCCGCGGUAAGACAGAGGUCCCGAGCGUUAGGCGGAAUCACUGGGCUUAAAGCGUGUGUAGGCGGAUUUGUAAGUACCUUGUGAAAUCCCACAGCUUAACUGUGGAACUGCUUGGUAUACUGCUUAUCUUGGGCCACUUAGGGGUUACCGGAACAAACGGUGGAGCGGUGAAAUGCGUAGAUAUCGUUUGGAACGCCAAUGGUGAAAACAGGUAACUGGGAGUGUGCCGACGCUGAGACACGAAAGCCAGGGGAGCGAACGGGAUUAGAUACCCCGGUAGUCC